GUCCGUGUACGUCAUGGUUUCCUGAACGCGUACACAACGACCAAAGAUGCCUUCCUCAGGUUCAAAUUUCCAUUCUCCUUCUUUGCAUUUCCACUCACCGACCAUAGUAAAUACGGGAACAUCCAUAACCCACCUGCAUCAUAAAUUCAGGAGACACACAUUAAAUGCAACUGAAAAAUACUAUACAUAUAAAAAACAAAUGGAAUGUCGAUACUACACAUUUAUAAACCUAAAUACCAAUUAUCAUUUGACUAUUUUAAACAAACAAAUAUAGAUUUUUCAAAUUUUCUGAUAAAAAAAUGGAGUUCGAACACAAUCAAGAUCCUAAUAUGACAUAACAAAAAACUUCUUAAAAGAACUUCAUUACUUACACGAGCAAUGCUUGUUUUGGUUCCAAACUUGGUACAAAAACAAGAUCAACACUUCUUCAGCAGCAAUGUACGUUCUCAAUAAUUCUUUGUUCCUGGGUUCAUCUUCUUUAUCUCAACAAUUUUUUUAUUAAUUAUU
rnacentral:sRNA from 1 species